GAUGAAGAACGCAGCGAAAUGCGAUAAGUAAUGUGAAUUGCAGAAUUCAGUGAAUCAUCGAAUCUUUGAACGCAUAUUGCGCUCUCUGGUAUUCCGGAGAGCAUGCUUGUUUGAGUAUCAGUAAACACCUCAACUCCCUUUUCUUUUUUGAAAUUGGAGCUGGACUUGAGUGAUCCCAACGCUUUCUUCCAAGAAAGUGGCGGGUUGCUUGAAAUGCAGGUGCAGCUGAACUUUUCUCUGAGCUAUAAGCAUAUCUAUUUAGUCUGCCUAAAAAACAGAUUAUUACCUUUGCUGCAGCUAACAUAAAGGAGACUAGUUCUUGUGCUGACUGAUGCAGGAUUCACAGAGACAGCUUCGGCUGACUUUGUAAACUCGAUCUCAAAUCAAGUAAGACUACCCGCUGAACUUAAGCAUAUCAAUAAGCGGAGGA
rnacentral:misc_RNA from 1 species